GUUUUCCGUAAUUUCACCUGGAGAGGAGAGGAAAAGGAAAAAUAUUAAAGGUUUGGCUGCCUGGGGGCUCGUGGCAAUCUUUGAUCCAGUAGGGAAAGGCAACAAGAAUAGCAUAGCUUUGCAUUUGGUCUUCCUAUUGACAUGGACUUUUGAUUGGAUCAUCAAAGCCACACUGGCAGAAUUAUCAAAUUCAAAUAACUGAAUAAUGUAAUGACACAUGAUUCAAUCAUAUUUCAUGAAAUGUUUUUUUUUUUUUUUAAUUAUUAUUUGCAACUUACAAAACCUCUUUCUUUCACCAAAGUGAUUCGGUGUCUAAUAAUUUACAAAUCAUUGUAGCAUAUAAAGUGACCAAAAUAAUUUGUUUUCAUGAAUCAGCUGGCUUUUGUAUUACACACCCCCCCCCCAUCCCAUCAACAAUGUCCUAUUGGUCAGCCAAAGAAUGCAGUGAACAUUGACAGUCAUUUUGAAGAGCAAAUUAUGAGUUAGCAUUUGGCCCUUUCUUUUUGCCAAAUGUUGGGACAACAUUUACAAAGCGCCGAUUGUACUGAAUUCU